AUAUAUAUUUGGUAGACUUUAUUUUUAGUGGCCCACCAAUAUUUUCUUUACCAAAACAAUUAAACAAUUCUAACUAAAUAACACAAAACUCUAACAUAUAUAAUAACCCUAAGAUUACGUGAAAAUUUUAUAUCUUGUUUUGCCUUGCUUCAACUUCUCUUCCUCUGUUCCUCUUCCUCAUCGAGUCUUUGUCUUCAAGAAAAUGCAGGAAACAAUGAGAAAGUUUUUAAAAAGAUACUCCAAUACCUGUAUUGCCUUGUUCCCGGAUAGAGGUUAGGCGAUUGCGUACUACCUUAAUACCUUAUCCAGCUCUCGAACCAGUUGUAAAGGAGGAAUCGGUGAUGCACCGUGACGGCGAUUGUUAGGGAGUGAACUGUGAGCUGAAAAGCGUAUCUCAGCAGAAAGAUACCUUCGUUGCCAAUGGAUAUUUCUGUGAGGAGAUAGACUACGUAUUUCAUUUUCUUUAAAAAUGGAGAGGGUCGUAAAUAGAUUACAUAACUUACUUAAUUUUAAUCUUUAAUAGGUUUUUUUUGUUAACCUAUAUAUAUUAUUACUUGUAUUUUGAUAUGAUUGGUAUAGUAGGUCAUUGCUUUAGUUGACGUUUAAUUUGGUUAAUCUUAUAAAUGUCAAUCU